GACGAACGCUGGCGGCGUGCUUAACACAUGCAAGUCGAACGAAGAGCGAUGGAAGCUUGCUUCUAUCAAUCUUAGUGGCGAACGGGUGAGUAACGCGUAAUCAACCUGCCCUUCAGAGGGGGACAACAGUUGGAAACGACUGCUAAUACCGCAUACGAUCUAACCUCGGCAUCGAGGAUAGAUGAAAGGUGGCCUCUACAUGUAAGCUAUCACUGAAGGAGGGGAUUGCGUCUGAUUAGCUAGUUGGAGGGGUAACGGCCCACCGAGGCGAUGAUCAGUAGCCGGUCUGAGAGGAUGAACGGCCACAUUGGGACUGAGACACGGCCCAGACUCCUACGGGAGGCAGCAGUGGGGAAUCUUCCGCAAUGGACGAAAGUCUGACGGAGCAACGCCGCGUGAGUGAUGACGGCCUUCGGGUUGUAAAGCUCUGUUAAUCGGGACGAAAGGCCUUCUUGCGAAUAGUGAGAAGGAUUGACGGUACCGGAAUAGAAAGCCACGGCUAACUACGUG
rnacentral:rRNA from 1 species